rnacentral:rRNA from 1 species
UGGGCAACCUGCCCCAGACUUCGGGAUAACUCUUCGAAAGAGGCGCUAAUACCGGAUAUGAACUCUGCAGGCAUCUGCGAAGUUGGAAAGUUUUUCGGUCUGGGAUGGGCCCGCGGCCUAUCAGCUAGUUGGUGAGGUAGUGGCUCACCAAGGCGACGACGGGUAGCCGGCCUGAGAGGGCGACCGGCCACACUGGGACUGAGACACGGCCCAGACUCCUACGGGAGGCAGCAGUGGGGAAUCUUGCACAAUGGAGGAAACUCUGAUGCAGCGAUGCCGCGUGAGUGAAGAAGGCCUUUGGGUUGUAAAGCUCUUUCGUCGGGGAAGAAAAUGGCUGUACCCGAAUAAGAAGGUCCGGCUAACUUCGUGCCGGCAGCCGCGGUAAUACGAAGGGACCUAGCGUAGUUCGGAAUUACUGGGCUUAAAGAGUUCGUAGGUGGUUAAAAAAGUUGAUGGUGAAAUCCCAAGGCUCAACCUUGGAACUGCCAUCAAAACUUUUUAGCUAGAGUGUGAUAGAGGUAAGUGGAAUUUCUAGUGUAGAGGUGAAAUUCGUAGAUAUUAGAAAGAACACCAAAAGCGAAGGCAACUUACUGGGUCACUACUGACACUGAGGAGCGAAAGCAUGGGUAGCGAAGAGGAUUAGAUACCCUCGUAGUCCAUGCCGUAAACGAUGUGUGCGAGACGUUG